rnacentral:rRNA from 1 species
GACGAACGCUGGCGGCGUGCUUAACACAUGCAAGUCGAACGGUGAAGCGCCUUCCUUUUUGGUGGGUGUGGAUGAGUGGCGAACGGGUGAGUAACACGUGAGUAACCUGCCCCCUUCUUCUGGAUAACCGCAUGAAAGUGUGGCUAAUACGGGAUAUUCUCGGUCUGUCGCAUGAUGGGUCUGUGAAAGAUUUUGUUUCGGUGGGGGAUGGGAUCGCGGCCUAUCAGGUUGUUGGUGGGGUGAUGGCCUACCAAGGCGAUGACGGUUAGCCGGCAUGGGAGGGUGGACGGUAACACAGGGGCGGAGACACGGAGAAGACUACGACGGGAGGCAGCAGGGGAGAAUAUAGAACAGUGGGAGAAAGGAUGAUGCAGCGACGCCGAGGGAGAGAUGGAGGCCUGCGGGUUGUGAACCUCUUUCGCGAGAGAAGCAGGCCUGCCUCGUUUGUGGGUGGGUUGACGGUAGCUGGAGAAGAAGCGCCGGCUAACUACGUG